CUCAUUAAAUACUAGUGAUACAUUAAAGAAGCAAAGUUGGUUAUAUAAAUAACAUUCAUAUGUCAUAAAAGCUCAAAAUUUAUGGAUUGUUGGGCAUUGUUUUGUGCGGAGUUUUGUGUUAAGUGUUUUGUUGUAUCUUUUACAGUUCUCAUGAUAGAAAUAUAUAGUAGUGUGAGUGUAGAUGUUGUGGUUCCAUAUAAUAUUGCUAGCAUGAGAACUGUAAAAGAUACAGCCAAGGAACUUAACACAAAACUCCGCAUAAAAUGAUGCCCAACAUCUAUAAUAAACUAAGGAAUGAUAAAACCAAACUUGGUGAAGGGAAAAGAUCAGGUGUCUAUUGCAUCCCAAUUUAUGUGGAGUUUUGUGUUAAGUUUUUUGGCUGUAUCUUUUACCUCUUCUAUCUAGCUGUUUUUAACAAACACCUAGAUAGAAGAGAGGAAUACAUCACCAUCACAGGCAGAAAUCUAAAAGACUGUCUAAGAGAACAUAAACAUGACAUAAAAUUAGGUAAAACUAACACCACUCUCACAACUGAACUUAUGAG
rnacentral:lncRNA from 1 species